AGAGUUUGAUCAUGGCUCAGAAUCAACGCUGGCGGCGCGCUUAACACAUGCAAGUCGCACGAGAAAGUGGAGCAAUCCAUGAGUAAAGUGGCGUACGGGUGAGUAACACGUGGAUUAUCUACCUUUUAGUGGGGAAUACCCCUGGGAAACCGGGGACAAUACCGCAUAAGCUCGUGAGAGGAAAGCCGAAAGGCGCUGAAAGAGGAGUCCGCGGCUGAUUAGCUAGUUGGCGGGGUAAUGGCCCACCAAGGCGAAGAUCGGUAGCCGGCCUGAGAGGGCACACGGCCACACUGGCACUGAAACACGGGCCAGACUCCUACGGGAGGCAGCAGUGGGGAAUCUUGCACAAUGGAGGCAACUCUGAUGCAGCGACGCCGCGUGAGCGAUGAAGCCCUUCGGGGUGUAAAGCUCUUUCGACGGGAACGAUAAUGACGGUACCCGAAGAAGAAGCUGCGGCUAACUACGUGCCAGCAGCCGCGGUAAUACGUAGGCAGCGAGCGUUGUUCGGAAUUAUUGGGCGUAAAGAGUGCGUAGGCGGUGCUCUAAGUCUGUCGUGAAAUCUCCCGGCUCAACUGGGAGGGUGCGGCGGAAACUGGAAUGCUAGAGUGUGGGAGAGGUAAGCGGAAUUCCUGGUGUAGCGGUGAAAUGCGUAGAUAUCAGGAGGAACACCCGUGGUGUAGACAGCUUACUGGACCACGACUGACGCUGAGGCACGAAAGCGUGGGUAGCAAACAGGAUUAGAUACCCUAGUAGUCC
rnacentral:rRNA from 1 species